rnacentral:rRNA from 1 species
GGGAACUUCCCCGCAGCACGUCUGUUUCAGUGUCUUU